rnacentral:rRNA from 1 species
GACGAACGCUGGCGGCGUGCUUAACACAUGCCAGUCGAACGGAAAGGCCCUGCUUUUGUGGGGUGCUCGAGUGGCGAACGGGUGAGUAACACGUGAGUAACCUGCCCUUGACUUUGGGAUAACUUCAGGAAACUGGGGCUAAUACCGGAUAGGAGCUCCUGCUGCAUGGUGGGGGUUGGAAAGUUUCGGCGGUUGGGGAUGGACUCGCGGCUUAUCAGCUUGUUGGUGGGGUAGUGGCUUACCAAGGCUUUGACGGGUAGCCGGCCUGAGAGGGUUACCGGCCACAUUGGGACUGAGGUACGGCCCAGACUCCUACAGGAGGCAGCAGUGGGGAAUAUUGCACAAUGGGCGGAAGCCUGAUGCAGCAACGCCGCGUGCGGGAUGACGGCCUUCGGGUUGUAAACCGCUUUCGCCUGUGACGAAGCGUGAGUGACGGUAAUGGGUAAAGAAGCACCGGCUAACUACGUG